rnacentral:misc_RNA from 1 species
GAUGAAGAACGUAGCGAAAUGCGAUAAGUAAUGUGAAUUGCAGAAUUCAGUGAAUCAUCGAAUCUUUGAACGCACAUUGCGCCCGGUAGUAUUCUGCCGGGCAUGCCUGUUCGAGCGUCAUUUCAACCAUCAAGCCCCAGCGCUUGUGUUGGGGGCCUGCGGCUGCCGCAGCCCCCUAAAAGCAGUGGCGGGCUCGCUAUCACACCGAGUGCAGUAGUUCAUCUUCUCUCCGGUCUUGUGAGGCGGGUUCCGGCCGUGAAACACCCCACUACAUUCAUGGUUGACCUCGGAUCAGGUAGGAAUACCCGCUGAACUUAAGCAUAUCAAUAAGCGGAGGA